UAGGGAAUCUUCCGCAAUGGACGAAAGUCUGACGGAGCAACGCCGCGUGAGUGAAGAAGGAUUUCGGUUCGUAAAACUCUGUUGUUAGGGAAGAAAAAAUGUAUAGUAACUAUAUACAAAAGAGACGGUACCUAACCAGAAAGCCACGGCUAACUACGUGCCAGCAGCCGCGGUAAUACGUAGGUGGCAAGCGUUGUCCGGAAUUAUUGGGCGUAAAGCGCGCGCAGGUGGUUUAGAAAGUCUGAUGUGAAAGCCCACGACUCAACCGUUGAGGGUCAUUUGAAACUAAUAAACUUGGGUGCAGGAAAGAAAAGUGGAAUUCCUAGUGUAGCGGUGAAAUGCGUAGCGAUUAGGAGGAACACCGGUGGCGAAAGCGGCUUUUUGGCCUGCAACUGACACUGAGGCGCGAACGCGUGGGGAGCAAACAGG
rnacentral:rRNA from 1 species